rnacentral:lncRNA from 1 species
CCUGCAGAUGGCACCGGUCCCCAGACUCCUCUUGCUCGUACCCCUUCAAGCCCAGAUUGUGCCAGAUGUCCCCAGUAGAGUGGGGAGUAGAGAGCCCUCCUCUGGACAAAGCCACCCAGCAGAAGCUCUGGGGACUGCUGGAUCCUGCCUUGUCUUUUUCCAAGGUACAGUGAAACCAAAGGAAAAUGCUCCAUGUAUAGUCACCUGUUGUCUAAGUCACCGGGGCACUGAAAUGUCCUGGCCCCUCUGAGUUCACAGCACAGGUCCAAGCCUCUCCCCACAGGACUGUCUUCUGUGCUCUUCAUAUUGGUCCAGCGCCACUUGCUUUAGUCUUGCCAGAGGGGCUGACCCAGGAACUUGGAGGCCUCCAUGAUGACUGUCAGGUCCAAUCUAAACACCCCGAAAAUGCCUGGGACAUGAGCAUCCAGCCAUCCACACUGCAAGUCCACGUCCUUCACUUGACCUUACCUCUUCAGGAUCCAGAGUCCAACAAGAAGCCUGGAGAUCCCCAAAAGAGCCCAAGCCAUUAGAGGAGGACUGAGCAGCUUCAGAAGCAUCACCCAGGGGGUGGGCAGGAGCAGAGAGCUACUGAGACUGGAAGCCUGGGCUGCUGUUCCCCCUGUGGGCAGCAGGGGGUGCUGAUCACACCAAGUUUAAUCCUCCCUCCUCCACCACCUUCUUGAAUAUUCCCUUUCCCACCGCACAGACACCUGCAGCACACACACACACACACACACCGUACCACCACCACCAAUUUCCAACCCACAUACUCACCUGCUCAAAACCCCAACCUCUCCUUCAAAUCAGGCUGCUCCGUCUGUCCUCAGAUGGAAGAGAUGAUUACCAGGGCAUCAACUGAGAAAGAAGAGAGGGACAUAGCCUUCGAGGGAAGUGCCGCCCCCAAGCCUGUCCUGGGGCACACAAAGCUGAGGAUCCAGGACUGACUUUGACUUUGUUGACCAGCAUCCUAGCCCCCAGGGAGAUGAUCAGCAAUCCAAAAGGUUUAUUUCCAUGUGAGAGGGAGUAAAAACCCCCUUCUAAGCCAGCCCCACUCCACCAGGCCCCUACCCCACUCCUCCUCAGGCCCAGAGAGCACCACAUGCUCACAAACAACCUUCUGGCCUGAACUUCAGAUGAUCCUUUAGUCUCGAUUCCUAUGUCACUACAGAUCCCUCUUCGCAGAAGAAAGUAACCAACAGUGGAUAUACCAAGAGCAGGUGUGUGCCCUCUGAAGCAGAGAACCACAUGCU